UACGAAGGGGGCUAGCGUUGUUCGGAAUUACUGGGCGUAAAGCGCGCGCAGGCGGUCCUUUAAGUCGGGGGUGAAAGCCCAGAGCUCAACUCUGGAACUGCCUUCGAAACUAGAGGACUUGGGUACGGGAGAGGUGAGUGGAAUUCCGAGUGUAGAGGUGAAAUUCGUGGAUAUUCGGAAGAACACCAGUGGCGAAGGCGACUUACUGGACACAUAUUGACGCUGAGGUGCGAAAGCGUGGGGAGCAAACAGG
rnacentral:rRNA from 1 species